rnacentral:rRNA from 1 species
GGCUUAACACAUGCAAGUCGAGGGGCAGCAUGAAGUUUGCUUGCAAACUUUGAUGGCGACCGGCGCACGGGUGAGUAACGCGUAUCCAACCUUCCCCUUACUAGGGAAUAGCCCGGCGAAAGUCGGAUUAAUGCCCUAUGUUCUCCUUUGCGGGCAUCUAACGAGGAGCAAAGAUUCAUCGGUAAGGGAUGGGGAUGCGUCUGAUUAGCCAGUUGGCGGGGUAACGGCCCACCAAGGCGACGAUCAGUAGGGGUUCUGAGAGGAAGGUCCCCCACAUUGGUACUGAGACACGGACCAAACUCCUACGGGAGGCAGCAGUGAGGAAUAUUGGUCAAUGGACGAGAGUCUGAACCAGCCAAGUAGCGUGCAGGACGACUGCCCUAUGGGUUGUAAACUGCUUUUAUGCGGGAAUAAAGUCAGGUACGUGUACCUGUUUGUAUGUACCGCAUGAAUAAGGACCGGCUAAUUCCGUGCCAGCAGCCGCGGUAAUACGGAAGGUCCGGGCGUUAUCCGGAUUUAUUGGGUUUAAAGGGAGCGCAGGCGGGUUAUUAAGCGUGUUGUGAAAUGCGGCGGCUCAACCGUCGAAUUGCAGCGCGAACUGGUUACCUUGAGUGAGUACGACGUCAGCGGAAUUCGUGGUGUAGCGGUGAAAUGCUUAGAUAUCACGAAGAACCCCGAUUGCGAAGGCAGCUGACGAGUCCUUAACUGACGCUAAUGCUCGAAAGUGCGGGUAUCGAACAGGAUUAGAUACCCUGGUAGUCCGCACGGUAAACGAUGGAUGCCCGCUGUUGGCGAUACAGUGUCAGCGGCCAAGCGAAAGCGUUAAGCAUCCCACCUGGGGAGUACGCCGGCAACGGUGAAACUCAAAGGAAUUGACGGGGGCCCGCACAAGCGGAGGAACAUGUGGUUUAAUUCGAUGAUACGCGAGGAACCUUACCCGGGCUUGAACUGCAGGAGAACGAUUCAGAGAUGAUGAGGUCCUUCGGGACUCCUGUGAGUGCUGCAUGGUUGUCGUCAGCUCGUGCCGUGAGUGUCGGCUAGUGCCAUAACGAGCGCAACCCUUUCUUCAGUGCAUCAGUUAUGCUGGGCACUCUGGAGAAACUGCACGUAGGUGUGAGGAAGGUGGGAUGACGUCAAAUCAGCACGCUACGUCGGGGCUACACACGUGUUACAAUGUGUACGAGAGCGGCUGCCCUGCAAGCUCAGCGAAUCAUGAGCAUCUCUCAGUCGAAUGGUUCGCAUCGAUCAUGAGUCUUGAUGCUAGUAUCGCUACUGCACAUGUCCUG